rnacentral:lncRNA from 1 species
UCUCUCUCUCUCUCUCUCCUUUCUCUCUCCUUCUCUCUCUCUCUUUCUUUUCUCUUUCUCUCUUCUUCCUUCCUUCCUUCCUUCCUUCCUUCCUUCCUUCCCUUCCUUCCUUCCUUCUUCCUUCCUUCCUUCCUUCCUUCUUCCUUCCUUCCUUCCUUCCUUCCUUCCCUUCCUUCCUUCCUUCCUUCCUUCCUUCCUUCCUUCCUUCCUUCCUUCCUUCCUUCCUUCCUUCCUUCCUUCCUUCCUUCCUUCCUUCCUUCUUCUCUUCCAUUUUGUUUUCACAAGCUUUGA